rnacentral:miRNA from 1 species
UGUUUGUUGUAAGGAUCGUUGU